rnacentral:rRNA from 1 species
CCUCCUACGGGAGGCAGCAGUGGGGAAUAUUGCACAAUGGGCGAAAGCCUGAUGCAGCAACGCCGCGUGAGCGAUGAAGGCCUUCGGGUCGUAAAGCUCUGUCCUCAAGGAAGAUAAUGACGGUACUUGAGGAGGAAGCCCCGGCUAACUACGUGCCAGCAGCCGCGGUAAUACGUAGGGGGCAAGCGUUAUCCGGAUUUACUGGGUGUAAAGGGAGCGUAGACGGAAAGGCAAGUCAGAAGUGAAAGCCCAAGGCUCAACCAUGGGACUGCUUUUGAAACUGUCAAACUAGAGUACGGGAGAGG